rnacentral:rRNA from 1 species
UGAGUAAUGUCUGGGAAACUGCCUGAUGGAGGGGGAUAACUACUGGAAACGGUAGCUAAUACCGCAUAACGUCGCAAGACCAAAGAGGGGGACCUUCGGGCCUCUUGCCAUCAGAUGUGCCCAGAUGGGAUUAGCUAGUAGGUGGGGUAAUGGCUCACCUAGGCGACGAUCCCUAGCUGGUCUGAGAGGAUGACCAGCCACACUGGAACUGAGACACGGUCCAGACUCCUACGGGAGGCAGCAGUGGGGAAUAUUGCACAAUGGGCGCAAGCCUGAUGCAGCCAUGCCGCGUGUGUGAAGAAGGCCUUCGGGUUGUAAAGCACUUUCAGCGAGGAGGAAGGUGGUGAACUUAAUACGUUCAUCAAUUGACGUUACUCGCAGAAGAAGCACCGGCUAACUCCGUGCCAGCAGCCGCGGUAAUACGGAGGAUGCAAGCGUUAAUCGGAAUUACUGGGCGUAAAGCGCACGCAGGCGGUUUGUUAAGUCAGAUGUGAAAUCCCCGGG